rnacentral:rRNA from 1 species
AGAGUUUGAUCCUGGCUCAGGAUGAACGCUGGCGGUAUGCCUUACACAUGCAAGUCGAACGGAGUAGCAAUACUCAGUGGCGGACGGGUGAGUAACACGUGGGAAUCUACCAUUAGGUGGGGAAUAACAGGCCGAAAGGACUGCUAAUGCCGCAUAUGUAGGCAUCUCGACAGAGAUGUUUAUGAAAGGAGUAAUCCGCCUUUUGAUGAGCCCGCGUCCGAUUAGCUAGUUGGUAGGGUAAAAGCCUACCAAGGCGACGAUCGGUAGGUGGUCUGAGAGGAUGAUCACCCACAAUGGGACUGAGACACGGCCCAUACUCCUACGGGAGGCAGCAGUGGGGAAUUUUACGCAAUGGGGGAAACCCUGACGUAGCGACACCGCGUGAGCGAAGAAGCCCUUUGGGGUGUAAAGCUCUGUCAACAGGAACGAAACAAAUGACGGUACCUGUGGAGGAAGCAUCGGCUAACUACGUGCCAGCAGCCGCGGUAAGACGUAGGAUGCAAGCGUUGUCCGGAUUUAUUGGGCGUAAAGAGUUCGUAGGCGGUUUGUUAAGUCUGAUGUUAAAGACCGGGGCUCAACCUCGGAAAUGCAUUGGAUACUGGCAGACUGGAGUGCAGUAGAGGCUAGUGGAAUUCCCAGUGUAGCGGUGAAAUGCGUAGA